AUUACUUUGGCUUGCCUGACCUUUAGACUUGCACCUUUAUUUAGGGUUUGAACCUCCCCUGAGCACAGUCAAGGUUUAAUCUCUUGAAAGGAGAGGGAGGUGGCACUUGGAGUAGCUCUAGCAGUGACUGGGUAUGUCAGCACCUUAUGAAGAGAGAUGAAAAUUCUCAAUGUGUUUGUUGCCCAUGGGCUCACUCUGACGCAUGAAACAUGCCCAAGCCUCUGACCACUGCAAGUCCUUGAAGUGAAUGAGAGCUUUAACUGCCUGGGAAUGCACUGAAUUUCUCUGCACUGAUCAAUUACAUCCCACUUGCUGUGAAUGACCAGCCUCCUAAGCCAUAAGUUGCAGGACUGCACUGUUUUCCUGCAAUGGUCAAUACUGCUUCUUUUUUCCUAUCCAGAUUCCAAACCUCAACUCCUACCCUACACUUAUAGCAACCUAAAUAUCAGGACUGACAAGAGUGUUAGUUUUAAAUUCAAAUGUAAGAUAACCCAUACUUGAGCUACAGUGAUACUAGCAGCUUAUUAAUGGUACAUGGAUGAGAGCCAUUCAAUGCAAGCAAGUAAUUUUCCUCCUUCUUCCUAAUAAAGCAGCUUUAACAUGUU